ACCACUGGGCUUGACCAAAGUCCGCUGAAGUCAAUAGGGGUCUUUCCAUUGACUUCAAAGAGCUUUGAAUCAGGCCCAUUGU
rnacentral:pre_miRNA from 1 species